rnacentral:rRNA from 1 species
AACGAACGCUGGCGGCAGGCUUAACACAUGCAAGUCGAGCGCCUCGCAAGAGGAGCGGCAGACGGGUGAGUAACGCGUGGGAAUCUACCGUGCCCUAAGGAAUAGCUCCGGGAAACUGGAAUUAAUACCUUAUACGCCCUUCGGGGGAAAGAUUUAUCGGGGUAUGAUGAGCCCGCGUUGGAUUAGCUAGUUGGUGGGGU